CCCCGUCGGGCGAAAGUGACCGGCGGGGGGUUAAGGCCCACGUCCGGGAGGCGCUCGCAAAUGGGCGCGUGCCCAAACCAAGCUGGACCCCCCCCAGCCAAA